GCUGAGCACGGUGGUGCACUGCUGUAGUCCUAGCUACUUGGGAGGCCGAGGUGGGAGGAUAGCUUGAGCCCAGGAGUUCAGGGUUGCAGUGAGCUGUGAUGGGGUCUCUGUACUCUAGCCUGGGCAACAUAGUGAGACCCCUGUCUGUACAAACAAAAUUAGCCAGGCAUGGUGGCACAGGAGGUUAAGCCUGCAGUGAGCUAUGAUUGGACCACUGUACUCCAGCCUGGGCAACAGAGUGAGACCCUAUCUCU
rnacentral:sRNA from 1 species